rnacentral:rRNA from 1 species
CCUACGGGCGGCAGCAGUGAGGAAUAUUGGUCAAUGGACGAGAGUCUGAACCAGCCAAGUAGCGUGAAGGAUGACUGCCCUAUGGGUUGUAAACUUCUUUUAUAUGGGAAUAAAACGUUCCACGUGUGGGAUUUUGUAUGUACCAUAUGAAUAAGGAUCGGCUAACUCCGUGCCAGCAGCCGCGGUAUUACGGAGGAUCCGAGCGUUAUCCGGAUUUAUUGGGUUUAAAGGGAGCGUAGGUGGAUUGUUAAGUCAGUUGUGAAAGUUUGCGGCUCAACCGUAAAAUUGCAGUUGAAACUGGCAGUCUUGAGUACAGUAGAGGUGGGCGGAAUUCGUGGUGUAGCGGUGAAAUGCUUAGAUAUCACGAAGAACUCCGAUUGCGAAGGCAGUUCACUGGACUGCAACUGACACUGAGGCUCGAAAGUGUGGGUAUCAAACAGGAUUAGAUACCCCGGUAGUC